GCUGCAACUGUUUAUUAAAAACACAGCACUGUGCAAAAUCGUAAGAUGACGUAUACGGUGUGACGCCUGCCCGGUGCCGGAAGGUUAAUUGAUGGGGUUAGACUUCGGUCGAAGCUCUUGAUCGAAGCCCCGGUAAACGGCGGCCGUAACUAUAACGGUCCUAAGGUAGCGAAAUUCCUUGUCGGGUAAGUUCCGACCUGCACGAAUGGCGUAAUGAUGGCCACGCUGUCUCCACCCGAGACUCAGUGAAAUUGAAAUCGCUGUGAAGAUGCAGUGUACCCGCGGCUAGACGGAAAGACCCCGUGAACCUUUACUACAGCUUGGCACUGAACAUUGACCCUACAUGUGUAGGAUAGGUGGGAGGCUUUGAAGCACGUACGCCAGUAUGUGUGGAGCCGUCCUUGAAAUACCACCCUUGUAGUGUUGAUGUUCUAACGUCGACCCCUAAUCGGGGUUGCGGACAGUGCCUGGUGGGUAGUUUGACUGGGGCGGUCUCCUCCCAAAGAGUAACGGAGGAGCACGAAGGUGGGCUAAUCACGGUUGGACAUCGUGAGGUUAGUGCAAUGGCAUAAGCCCGCUUGACUGCGAGAAUGACAAUUCGAGCAGGUGCGAAAGCAGGUCAUAGUGAUCCGGUGGUUCUGAAUGGAAGGGCCAUCGCUCAACGGAUAAAAGGUACUCCGGGGAUAACAGGCUGAUACCGCCCAAGAGUUCAUAUCGACGGCGGUGUUUGGCACCUCGAUGUCGGCUCAUCACAUCCUGGGGCUGAAGUCGGUCCCAAGGGUAUGGCUGUUCGCCAUUUAAAGUGGUACGCGAGCUGGGUUUAGAACGUCGUGAGACAGUUCGGUCCCUAUCUGCCGUGGGCGUUGGAAGAUUGAAGGGGGCUGCUCCUAGUACGAGAGGACCGGAGUGGACGAACCUCUGGUGUUCGGGUUGUGUCGCCAGACGCAUUGCCCGGUAGCUAAGUUCGGAAUCGAUAACCGCUGAAAGCAUCUAAGCGGGAAGCGAGCCCUGAGAUGAGUCUUCCCUGAUACUUUAAGUAUCCUAAAGGGUUGUCGGAGACUACGACGUUGAUAGGUCAGGUGUGUAAGUGCUGUGAGGCAUUGAGCUAACUGAUACUAAUUGCCCGUGAGGCUUAACCAUACAACACCCA
rnacentral:rRNA from 1 species